CCUACGGGAGGCAGCAGUGGGGAAUAUUGGACAAUGGGGGAAACCCUGAUCCAGCGACGCCGCGUGAGUGAAGAAGUAUUUCGGUACGUAAAGCUCUAUCAGCAGGAAAGAAAAUGACGGUACCUGACUAAGAAGCCCCGGCUAACUACGUGCCAGCAGCCGCGGUAAUACGUAGGGGGCAAGCGUUAUCCGGAUGUACUGGGUGUAAAGGGAGCGUAGACGGCAGCACAAGUCUGGAGUGAAAUGCCGGGGCGCAACCCCGGAACUGCUCUGGAAACUGUGAAGCUGGAGUGCAGGAGAGGUAAGCGGAAUUCCUGGUGUAGCGGUGAAAUGCGUAGAUAUCAGGAGGAACACCGGCGGCGAAGGCGGCUUACUGGACUGUAACUGACGUUGAGGCUCGAAGGCGUGGGGAGCAAACAGGAGUAGAUACCCUAGUAGUC
rnacentral:rRNA from 1 species